GAUGAACGCUGGCGGUACGCUUAACACAUGCAAGUCGAACGGGUAGCAAUACCAGUGGCGAACGGGUGAGUAAUGUAUAGGAAUCUACCUUUAGGUGGGGAAUAACUCGGGGAAACUCGAGCUAAUGCCGCAUAAUGCCCUCGGGUAAAAACUUUUGUGCCUAAAAAUGAGCCUGUAUCCAAUUAGCUAGUUGGUGGGGUAACAGCCUACCAAGGCUACGAUUGGUAGCUGGUCUGAGAGGACGACCAGCCACAGUGGAACUGAGACACGGUCCACACUCCUACGGGAGGCAGCAGUGGGGAAUUUUCCGCAAUGGGCGAAAGCCUGACGGAGCGAUACCGCGUGUCGGAUGAAGGCCCUAGGGUUGUAAACGACUGUCGGCGGGGAAGAAACAAAUGACGGUACCCGCAAAGGAAGCACCGGCUAACUCUG
rnacentral:rRNA from 1 species